AUGCCAUCACUUGCAGGGCUGGUAAGAAAGAAACCUCUGAUGUGCUAAUAUACACGGAUCAGAUUCCUUCUAUGUGCCAAAGCAUGUGUGCGGGGUCAAGACCUCAAAUAUGAUUCUUCAUCUGAUUCAAGCACCGCCAAAGAAAGUGAGAGGUAUGAUGCAGUUGCUGCUGACCAAGCCCAUGUUCCACUUUCUCUGACUGCUCAAACCGUAGCAUCCCCUGUGAUCCAUGUGAUCGUGGCAGCAGUGAUUAGACAAAAUGGAAGUUUCUGGAAGUGUUGGACUGUUACAAAAUGAUUGAAAUGAAACGGCUGACUUGGAAGAUGCUUAGAUCCAUAUGCCAGAAGGUGAUCCUACUGCCAAAAUACUUACUGGAUUUUGUGUAUAGGACGUCAUUAAAGCUGAGAAGGAAAUGGAACAGUCUAAGAGGGAAAAUCCACCAUUACCUUCCGAAAAUGCAUCUAAGUCUAGCAAGGCGAAAAUGAGGGGAGUAUCAUUGAAAUGUCAGAAGUCCGGCACCAUAUUACAGCAUAUUACAGGUCUUAGCACUGGGUAGGCCAGGUAUGCUUCAAUGUUUUGAGAGCGAAGCAAAAGCAGGAAAAAAAAUCAAGCAGUGGAACAUACGAUGUGUGGAAACUCUUGCCAUUAUGUGCAGUGGAGAAGCUUACCUUUGAACUGGCCCCUAUACAUUAUACACCUAGUGGUGCUUGCGUCAUUACAUUUGCAUAAUUGUAGCUGAUGGAAGUGCUCUUACAAAGGCAAGGAUUGGGAAAAAGAAAAAUGACGACGAAACUGAAGAAUGGUGGCUCCCAAUGUGACAAGUGUGAAGCGUGGCAUCAUCAAAUUUGUGCAUUUAUUCUAUGGUAGAAGAAACAAUGGUGGACAAGCUAACUACACUUGUCCAAGUUGUUUUAUAGAAGAAGUUGAGAGAGGUGACCAUGUGCCAUUACCGCAGAGUGCUGUUCUAGGAGCCAAGGAUUUGCCUAGAACAAUUUUGAGUGAUCACAUGGGGCAGCGAUUAUUUGCAAAGCUGAAGCAAGAAAGACAGGACACAACAAGGCUUCAAAGCAAAAGUUAUGGUGCCUGGAGCAUAAGCAAUUGUACUAAGAGUGGUGUCAUCAGUGGACAAGAAGUUGGAAGUUAGACCAGGGUUUCUUGAAAUUUUCCCAGAGGGAGAUUAUCCUACAGAACACCCCUAUAAAUCUAAGGUAAUACUAUUUAUUAAACCAUUUCUUCAGAAAAUUGAAGGUGUUGAAGUGUGGCUAGUUGGGAUGUACGUUCAAGAAUUUGGAUCCAAAUGUCAGCAGCCUAAGCAUCACCGAGUCUACCUAUCUUACCUGGACUCUUAAGUAUUUCAGGCCUGAGGCCAAAGCAAUGACUGGAGAGGUUUGCAAACAUUUUUGUACCACGAAACUUUGGCAAGUAUUCUGGACCCAUUGUUCUUUUGCUACAUUGGAGUUUCAAUACCUGGUCUGUUAGUACCAUCACUUAUAUUUUCAGAUUGGAUACUUAGAAUACUGCAAAAAGCGUGGUUUCACAAGCUUUUAUAUAUGGGCUUUCCCUCCGAUGAAAGGGGAAGAUUACAUUUUGUAUUGCCACCCAGAAAUUCAGAAUACAGCAAACUCGCAUAAACUAAGGGAGUAGUAAGUUUGAUGGUUGUUUGAUCAUGAGAAUGUAGAUUGCGAGUGGUGAGUGAAUGUAAAGCAGAGGUAACCGCAACUCGAUUGCCAUAGUUUGAUGGAGAUUAUUGGCCUGGUGUUGCAGAGGACAUGAUCUAUCAACUACAUGUGUAUUUCAUUUUUCUAAAUACUAUUCUAUUUUUAAUUUUUGGUGAUUUAGUGGUGCUAUCGAGCUUUCUUGUUAUUGGUAGACGCUUUGGAUAGCCAAAAGAAAGAAAGGAAAGAAGAGAAGGGAUGUUGCGGUUUUGGUGCUUAAUCUUUGUUUCUUCAUUCUUAACCAACCUUCUCUCUCUUCAUGGUUGGAGACAGGGGCACCUGAGGAAGUAGUACUGCUUAUUAAGUGUAAUAAACAACAAUUGACUAGAGGAUCCGAGAGAAGGGGAAUAAGU